GAUGAAGAACGCAGCGAAAUGCGAUACGUAAUGUGCAUUGCAGAAUUCAGUGAAUCAUCGAGUCUUUGAACGCACAUUGCGCCCCCUGGUAUUCCGGGGGGCAUGCCUGUCCGAGCGUCAUUGCUGCCCUCAAGCACGGCUUGUGUGUUGGGCCUCCGUCCUCCUCCCGGGGGACGGGCCCGAAAGGCAGCGGCGGCACCGCGUCCGGUCCUCGAGCGUAUGGGGCUUCGUCACCCGCUCUUGUAGGCCCGGCCGGCGCUUGCCGACACAUCAAUCUUUUUUCCAGGUUGACCUCGGAUCAGGUAGGGAUACCCGCUGAACUUAAGCAUAUCAAUAAGCGGAGGA
rnacentral:misc_RNA from 1 species